rnacentral:rRNA from 1 species
UACGUAGGUGGCAAGCGUUGUCCGGAUUUAUUGGGUUUAAAGGGUGCGUAGGCGGCUUUGUAAGUCAGUGGUGAAAUAUGGCAGCUUAACUGUCAAGGUGCCAUUGAUACUGCGGAGCUUGAGUACAGAUGAGGUAGGCGGAAUUGACGGUGUAGCGGUGAAAUGCUUAGAUAUCGAUCAAGAACACCUAUAGCGAAGGCAGCUUACUAGGCUGUAACUGACGCUGAGGCGCGAAAAGUGUGGGGAUCGAAACAGG